rnacentral:RNase_P_RNA from 1 species
UUAGUAAAUCGGGUGAUCGCUUUUAAGUAAGAGGAAAGUCCGAACACCGUAGAACAGCGAGCCGGAUAAUUUCCGGGCAUCUGGAUUCAGUUGACGACAAGUGCAACAGAAAGUAAACCAGCCCGAUAAGGGUGAUGGGUGAAAUGAUGAGGUAAGAGCUCAUCAGCGUUUUUGGAGACAAAGGCGGCUAGGCAAACUCCUCGUGGUGCAAGACCAAAUAGGGAAACGUAUUUCUUGAGUUGUUCGCUCAAAGCUUGUGUAAAAGCAAGCGGCGUUUUCGGGUAGGUCGCUCGAGCUAUUCGGCAACGGAUAGCCUAGAUGAAUGAUUGCCGUUGCGCCUUUUUUGGCGCGAUACAAAAUUCGGCUUAUAGAUUUACUAGAAUG